CGGAUAUAAGAAUACCAUAGCAAACCAAUUAAACAACAGGGACAAAAUACUUUGUCUUUAAACACAAAAGUCAAAAUCUAUUAGUUUGAGCCCAAUUUUCCAAUUCUGUAGAAGUGGCUAAGUUCGGGUAGCCAAAUACAAUGAAUAAUGAAAUAAAAGAGGGGAAGAUUAGAAUUGGACCUUAAUAGAGCGUUCUCGUAGAUAAUAAAGAAAUCCGUGCCGAUGAAUCUCGAUUUGAACCUCGAACAACGAAACACCCCAAGUCGAUAAUAUCGAUGUCGAAUUCCACCCAACCGCUUCUAUUUCGCACUAACCCAAACCAAAGCUCAUGAAAACAAAUAUUAAAUUCAUGCCAGAACAGUGAAGUGAAGUUGGAUUAGGUCAUUUCUCGGUGAGUGGGUGAUAGACGAUGAACCGAUGGAAUUUCCGAUGAGAAAUCUCCGGUCGUUCACUGAAAGCUCGAUGUGAUCCCGCCUAAGGUUUUUGGUUUCUGAUUUCAAAACCUUAGGGAUAGGACUGGUUUUCCGGUGGGUUUGUUGGUAUUGGUGUAGUGUACUCCGGUGAGUUUUUGCCGGAAUAGAGGCUCAUGGAUCGGUUCCCCUUCUUUGCUCUCUCUCUUGCGUUUUCUCCCUCUCUCUCUCACGAUCUCUCUCGCAGAUCUCUCUCUCGCUCUGUUCCUCUCUUCUCUCUCAAUCUCCCUCCAUUUCUUACUCUCAAUUUCUCACCUUUUCUCUAUCUCCCUUUACUCUGUGUGUGUCAUCUAUUUUUCGGUGAGUUGUGAGUGUGUGCGUGAGAUUUUUUGUGGGUGAAUCUCUGUAGGUUUCUAUGAGUGAGGUCUGCUAUGGUGAGGAUGAUGGAAUUACCCUGUAUCUAUCUGUUUUUGAAAAAUGGAGAGGAAGAAAGAAUCCUGUAUCCCUUUUUUACUUUUUGGACAAGAAAUAUGAGGGGGUCAUGUGGGGUAGGGGUGAGGGUAGGGGUAUGGGAUGGUGACGGUGGUUAGGUGAGAGGUGAGGUGUUUUUAAGUUGGAGGGUUGAGGGUUAGGUGUUUAUUUUUUAUUGGGUGAGUUGUUGGAAUCUUUAAGAUAAGACAAAAUUGGUUAGGGUUUGUUAUUUGGAUAAAAAAAAAAAGGGAAUAAAUAAAUAAGUAAAAGAUGAGGUGGUUAUUCAUUUGUUUUUCUUGAAGAAAAUUAUAAGAUGGGAUCAAAGUGCGUGAUAACGGAGAAAGGAUUAUUUUCAGCGGGACAAAAUUAUGUGUCUACAGCCACACCCUUAGUAAGUCUUAACGAUGGAACCAACAAGACGGCACACAAACAAAAGAACUAAAGCAUGAUGCAAGAUAAGGCUAAAAGCUGCACAAAGAUCCCGGAAUCAACUGCAGCAUUGCUCCUGGUCUUCUAAAUUUGGAUUCUC
rnacentral:lncRNA from 1 species